GCCGGGAUGGUCUAAUCGGUUAAGGCGUCGCCCCGGACAGGUUGCGGGUUCAAUCCCCGCUCCUGGUC
rnacentral:tRNA from 2 species